UACGGAAGGUGCAAGCGUUGUUCGGAUUUACUGGGCGUAAAGCGCGCGCAGGCGGAUUGGCAAGUCAGAUGUGAAAUCUCAGGGCUCAACCCUGAAAUUGCGUCUGAAACUGUUAAUCUAGAGUAUCAGAGGGGAUAGGGGAAUUUCACGUGUAGGGGUAAAAUCCGUAGAGAUGUGAAGGAACACCGGUGGCGAAGGCGCCUAUCUGGAUGAUAACUGACGCUGAGGCGCGAAAGCGUGGGGAGCAAACAGG
rnacentral:rRNA from 1 species